CCUACGGGAGGCAGCAGUAGGGAAUCUUCCGCAAUGGACGCAAGUCUGACGGAGCAACGCCGCGUGAGUGACGAAGGUUUUCGGAUCGUAAAACUCUGUUGUUAGGGAAGAACAAGUGCCGUUCGAAAGGGCGGCACCUUGACGGUACCUAACGAGAAAGCCACGGCUAACUACGUGCCAGCAGCCGCGGUAAU
rnacentral:rRNA from 1 species